CCGUUGUACACACCGCCCGUCACACCAUGGGAGCGGGUUCUGCCAGAAGUGGGUAGCCUAACCGCAAGGAGGGCGCUUACCACGGCAGGGUUCGUGACUGGGGUG
rnacentral:rRNA from 1 species